rnacentral:rRNA from 1 species
UACGCCCGAUCUCGUCCGAUCUCGGAAGCUAAGCAGGGUCAGGCCUGGUUAGUACUUGGAUGGGAGACCGCCUGGGAAUACCAGGUGCUGUAAGCUU